GACGAACGCUGGCGGCGUGCUUAACACAUGCAAGUCGAACGAAGUGGCGAACGGGUGAGUAACGCGUAAUCAACCUGCCCUUCAGAGGGGGACAACAGUUGGAAACGACUGCUAAUACCGCAUACGGAAGGAGGGGAUUGCGUGUGAUUGGCUAGUUGGAGGGGUAACGGCCGACCAAGGCGAUGGUCAGUAGGCGGGUUUGGAGGAUGGACGGCCACAUUGGGACUGGUACACGGCCCAGACUCCUCCGGGAGGCAGCAGUGGGGAAUCUUCCGCAAUGGACGAAAGUCUGACGAAGCAACGCCGCGGGAGUGAUGACGGCCUUCGGGUUGUAAAGCUCUGUUAAUCGGGACGCGGUACCGGAAUAGAAAGCCACGGCUAACUACGUGCCAGUAGCCGCGGUAAUAC
rnacentral:rRNA from 1 species